GGAAUCUUCCACAAUGGACGAAAGUCUGAUGGAGCAACGCCGCGUGAGUGAAGAAGGGUUUCGGCUCGUAAAGCUCUGUUGGUAGUGAAGAAAGAUAGAGGUAGUAACUGGCCUUUAUUUGACGGUAAUUACUUAGAAAGUCACGGCUAACUACGUGCCAGCAGCCGCGGUAAUACGUAGGUGGCAAGCGUUGUCCGGAUUUAUUGGGCGUAAAGCGAGUGCAGGCGGUUCAAUAAGUCUGAUGUGAAAGCCUUCGGCUCAACCGGAGAAUUGCAUCAGAAACUGUUGAACUUGAGUGCAGAAGAGGAGAGUGGAACUCCAUGUGUAGCGGUGGAAUGCGUAGAUAUAUGGAAGAACACCAGUGGCGAAGGCGGCUCUCUGGUCUGCAACUGACGCUGAGGCUCGAAAGCAUGGGUAGCGAACAGGA
rnacentral:misc_RNA from 1 species